UGGCGUCGUGAAGGUCGAUGGUUUCCGCCUUGGUGGCUGUGCGCUCGCCUUGGC
rnacentral:ribozyme from 1 species